rnacentral:miRNA from 1 species
AUCUACUUCUCCCGCCAUUGCGGGGAGAAAGGCGGGAGAAGCCCCAGCAGGAUUGAAGCUGCCCCU